CUUCGUGUUGUACAUUUAGCAGUGAAGUCUGACUUUGAAGUUGGCUUUAAAAGAGAAGGAAGAUGCAAGGGAAAGUUUUAUAGGUCUUAGGUUCAAAAGACAGAAUUAAAUUUAAUAAUUUAUUUUAAAAUAAAUUUCUUAUCUAGGUUUUUUUUAAUUAUUUAGAGAACUGAAUCAGCCUGUCCAUCUAAUGUGCUCCAAAUGUGUAUUUGAUAUUUUUACUCAAUGAAGUUACAUAUUUAGCUAGUGAAUAUGUGUUCUACCAGUGGUUAUGACUUGGUGGAAUAAAGCUGAAGCAGGGUUGGUGAGACAAAGCGUGGCCUGCGGUGACUUGUGCUCUGGAUUAGCUGAGGGACAAGCACAUAAACUUCUGUGGCUGUCAUCUGCAAAAGGAGUCCACAUCUUCACCAGGAGUAUAUUCCACCUCAAGAAACUACUUUAUUUGCUCAUCCAUAAGAAGCAACCCUUCAUCCGCUCAAGAUUUAUCAUGAGAUUAGAAGAAUUCAGUGAAAUCCUCAGGCUCCACUUCUAAUUCUAGUUCUCUUUCCAGUUCCACCACAUCUACAGCUACUUCCUCCACUGAAGUCUUGAACCUCACAAAGUCAUCUCUGAGGGUUAGAAUCAACUUCUUCCCAUCUCCUGCGCAUGUUGAUGGUAUUUUGCAUCUUCCCAUGAAUCAUGAAAGUUCUUAAUGGUAUCCAGAAUAGUGAAUCCUUUUCAUAGAUUUUUCAAUUUGCUUUGCCAAGAGACAUCAGAGAAAUCACCAUCUGUGACACCUAGAGCCUUAUGAAAUGCAGUUCUUAAAUAAUAAAAUUUGAAAGUUGAAAUUGCUCCUUGA